UAGGGAAUUUUCGUCAAUGGGGGAACCCUGAACGAGCAAUGCCGCGUGUGUGAAGAAGGUCUUCGGAUCGUAAAGCACUGUUGUAAGUGAAGAAUGCCAUAUAGAGGAAAUGCUAUGUGGGUGACGGUAGCUUACCAGAAAGCCACGGCUAACUACGUGCCAGCAGCCGCGGUAAUACGUAGGUGGCAAGCGUUAUCCGGAAUCAUUGGGCGUAAAGGGUGCGUAGGUGGCACGAUAAGUCUGAAGUAAAAGGCAACAGCUCAACUGUUGUAUGCUUUGGAAACUGUCGAGCUAGAGUGCAGAAGAGGGCGAUGGAAUUCCAUGUGUAGCGGUAAAAUGCGUAGAUAUAUGGAGGAACACCAGUGGCGAAGGCGGUCGCCUGGUCUGUAACUGAGCACUGAGUGCACGAAAGCGUGGGGAGCAAAUAGGAUUAGAUACC
rnacentral:rRNA from 1 species